rnacentral:rRNA from 1 species
UACGUAGGGGGCAAGCGUUAUCCGGAUUUACUGGGUGUAAAGGGAGCGUAGACGGCUUUGCAAGCCAGAUGUGAAAGCCCGGGGCUCAACCCCGGGACUGCAUUUGGAACUGUAUGGCUGGAGUGUCGGAGAGGCAGGCGGAGUUCCUAGUGUAGCGGUGAAAUGCGUAGAUAUUAGGAGGAACACCAGUGGCGAAGGCGGCCUGCUGGACGAUGACUGACGUUGAGGCUCGAAAGCGUGGGGAGCAAACAGG